rnacentral:rRNA from 1 species
GUGUCAGCAGCCGCGGUAAUACGGAGGGUGCGAGCGUUAAUCGGAAUUACUGGGCGUAAAGCGUGCGUAGGCGGUUCGUUAAGUCAGAUGUGAAAGCCCUGGGCUCAACCUGGGAACUGCAUUUGAAACUGGCGGACUAGAGUUUAGUAGAGGGGAGUGGAAUUUCAGGUGUAGCGGUGAAAUGCGUAGAUAUCUGAAGGAACACCAGUGGCGAAGGCGACUCCCUGGACUAGAACUGACGCUGAGGUACGAAAGCGUGGGUAGCAAACAGGAUUAGAUACCCUGGUAGUCCACGCCGUAAACGAUGUCGACUAGCCGUUGGCCCUAUUUACAGGGUUAGUGGCGCAGCUAACGCAUUAAGUCGACCGCCUGGGGAGUACGGCCGCAAGGUUAAAACUUAAAUGAAUUGACGGGG